GGAUGCCUGCCGCCGGGCAGGCGUAAGCGUUGGUUUCGUAUCAGUAGGCCGUUAGAAGAUGCGAAAGUCAAUGCUUUAUUUUUU
rnacentral:ncRNA from 1 species